CUAACAGGAUUCUCUCAGUAGUGGCGAAUGAACCGGGAAAAAGCCCAACCAUGAAAAUCAUGCGCAACCAGUGCGUGAAUUGUAGUCUGAAGAAGUGUUUCCAGUGGACGUCGCAGAACCAAGUCUUAUGGAAGAGACCGCCAGAGAGGGUGAGAGUCCCGUCACUUUUCUGCUGAACGUCUACGUACGGAGCAUUUUCUAAGAGUCGCGUUUCUUGGGAGUGAAACGCAAAAUGGGUGGUAAACUUCAUCUAAGGCUAAAUAGUGUAUGGGAAACCGAUAGCAAACAAGUACCUUGAGGGAAAGUUGAAAAGGACUUUGAAAAGAGAGUUAAAAUUCCCCGAAAUUGCUGAAAAGGAAGCGGUU
rnacentral:rRNA from 1 species